ensembl:lncRNA
CUGCAAGUUCCCAGGAGGUGCUCUUGGCUAGCGCCCUCAAUCCUUCUUGCCUGCAGGAGUCUGGCGUGCGGCUCUGCUGGGGGCCCAGAGACUGCCCAGGGAGCUGGAAGCGUGUGGUCUGUGGGCCCGUGCUCCGUCAUCCGUGGAUCUCGGUGAAUGUGUGAGUGUGUGGGUCUGUGAGCCUUUAGGUCCGUGGGACUGUGGGUGUAUGGGUCUGUGUGUCCACACGUUCUUGGGUCUGUGGAUCCUCAUAUCCAGGAAGAUGUGGGCUGAGUCUCUCCCCCUCAUGGCUGCCAGUCUAUGGAGGGAAGAAAAAAAAUCUGAUGUCCUGGAUUCCCUUCUCUCUUUUGUGUUUGAUAAGCACCUACUUUGUGCCAAGCCCUGAUCUGGGCCCUUGAGGGAUGUAGCAGUGAACAGAGGGGAGCAGACGAAGGCUUGGAGUAUCUGUGCCCCUAGGAGGGGUCUGGGGCAUCCCUCCUGCCAGGUGCCCAGGUGUGGGCACGUGGUCAUAGGGCCUGCUUUCCUCGUUCACGCUCAGAAAGGAGAGCCAGGCUGUGUUUGGCACCUGUGGGGAAGGGUGCAGAUCAUGGAAGCCUUUGGAAGCACGAGGUGUUUGGGUACCCUGGGAGCUAGUGCUGGGAGCUUCCGGGGCUCCUUGAGCAGGAGAAGAUGAGAGGGAAGUGGUUUCUCCAGGGUGGAGGCCACAGUCUUUUGGGGCCAAGGUCAGCACAGGCCUCGUGCUGCCUUGCCGACCUUCUCCCUUCAUCUCGGAGGCCCUCGCUCUGCCAGUUCCCCAUCUUCUGCACUCCGGCCUGGGCAGUCUCGCUGAGAAGAGUGUCAGGGCUUUCCUUCUUACCGCUGACCACCGGCCCUGAGGAGCAGUCAGGGCUGCCCUUCACUCGCCACUGGUCCAGGGACUCAGGCUUCCUCCCUGGAUCCCUCAGCUCUUGUCCCAGCCGGGAGAGACAUGAGCCCAUGCAGGGUCACAGGCCUGGGCCCUGAGGGGCAAGGCACUUAGCAUCAUGGGAGCAUUGGCUGCUUGUAAAAUUGGGAAAAUAGCAUCCACCUUAAGGGAUUUUUAUGAGGCUUAGAAAUGUCUCUGCAGUGCCUAGCACGGGUUCUGGUACAGGGAAGCUGCCUUUUUUCCUUAAGGUGCUUUCUGAAUCUCCUUCCCCAUUCGCUGCCCCUUUCGAGAGAUAGAGAAAGGACCUUGUGUUGCAUUUUAUACAAGAGAAAUGAAGCUUGCUGUGACUACGAUGCAGAGCAGGUGGAGCUGGGACUCUGGACCCAGGGUUCUUUCUGCUAGAAUGCUCUUCCUCCGUCAGGGGCCACCGUCACCCUGACUGGUUUGCUGAAGUAAGACCCGAGGCCCUACCUCCUGCAGAGGCACUGAAAAAUGAUCAGCAGAGUCACCAGAUGGGAGAUGUUCAAACACACGGAUGGAGAUUCAAACACAGCCCCACUUGCUGGGACUUGUCUUGAGGCCGAGGGCCGACGAACAAAUGAUGAUGCCUAGCGACAGACACAUGGACAGGUCCUGGGGGCGAAAGCAUGACUUCAGCCUUCCGUCUACAGCCUGGCCUGGACAACCCUUUAACUGGGGAAUUGGAUUUGAACCCCCUCUAUCCAAAUCCUAGCUCUUUGACUAAGUAGCGCCUGACCUUGGGAAAAUCCCCGCAUCGCUCUGUACCUCGGUUCUUCGCCUCUACUUGGAGAGGGCAAGAGUGCUUACUUCAUUGGUUUGUAAAGAAGUGCCUGGCACAUAGCAUGCGCUCAACAGUGUCGGCUGUGAGUCUUGUUAGCUGUCUUGGAGGGGCUGCUCAUCCAAUUCAUCGAAUGCAGCAAGGAUGAAGGGUGAGCUGUUGAUUCUGGGGACAGAACCAAGGUGACCGCAGUAUGUGGGCAGGCUCAGCUGGCCAGACCAGAGCAAGUUUUGUGUCAGGUCCCGCACUUAGAGGCCAGAUUUCAGCCAUUCCUCUUUAGGCUAGAGGAGCCCUUGACUUGGCUGCCGUUCCUCUGAAGAUCAGAGGAGACCGGUGGACCAUACGCCUCAUUGUUGCUUCAGUCUGGCUGCUAGGCUCCCAGACUGCAUCAAGAGAGUUCCAUCUCCAUCUCUGCAGAGUCAGGAGCGCACCUGUCUGCUCUGCUCUGGGUGACGUGGUGCAAACCUGGUCUAGCCCUUGCAGAGGGGAAGUUGGCAGACUCUAGCAUGACAGGGGAGAGGUCCCAAGGAACAGAUGAUCUGGAAAUUGUCACCCAAGAAAUGGAUCAGGGAGCCAGUGACAAGAGGCCUGGGGCAGAUGAGGUUUGGGGGUGGGCGGGCGGUUGUCACACAUCUGCUGGGCUGUCAUCUGGAAGAGGGAGCAGACAGAGGGUGCGGGGGGCUCUGAGACGCCAGCUGGAAGAUUCUGGUAGGCAGGUUUCCCGCAGCCUCAUAGAGACUUUUUCCCAGGCUCUGCAUUGGAGGGUGUGGUGUCUGUGUGUGUGUCUGUGCGUGUGUGAUAAUGAGUGUAUGAAGUGUGUGUGUGCAUGUUUGUGUGAGUGAAUGUGUCUGUGUAUGUGUGUAUCAUGGUGAGUGUGUGUCUGUAUGUGUGCGCGUGUUUGUGACUGACAAUGUGUAAGACAUCUGUCUGUGUGACUGGGUGUGGUGUGAGUGUGUGAUUGUAGGUAUGUCUCUGUGUGUGAUUGUGAUUGUGUUAUCUUGUGCUGGUGAAUGUGUGUGGUGAUGACUACGUCACUUUUGGGGUCUCAGUCUUUUCAGAAAUUCCUUGUUUAGAAAUCUGGAGCCACUGCGUUUCUGGGACGCUUGAGUUCCAGAGUUCUGGAAUUCUGUGGCUGAUGCUCUAACACGCUUGGGAAACCAUCACAGAUUCUUUGUGCACUGGCCCAGUGGCUGGUGGUGUGGUUAGGUGCUGGUGUGUGUGUUACCCCAUUCAUCCUCCCAGUGGCCCCACCACAGAACAGCCAAUGGCCUCAUUUUAUAGACAGGGCAUCCGAGGUCCCUGCCAGGUUGUCCUGUGCUAAGGUGAGCUGGUGUCAGAACUGGGGCUGAUACAAGUCUUGGCUUCCCGCGCUGGUGCUCUGAAGCACACGUUACAGACUGGAAGGCUAUCAUAGUUGAUAUCUUGGUCUCUAAGGUUCGUUCUGGGUGAUUCUAAGAUAUUCUGAUUCUGAGAUUCCUGGAUUCUAGGAUUCCCAGAAUGAAUCUGUUGUUCUUGGAGCUGUGACAUUAUCUGAUGUGUGGUUGUUGACAAAGGGAUAAACAAGUUGCUGGCCUGUGUGUGCCUGUGAACACACACACAAACACGCACACACACAUGGCUUGGGUGACCCGGCCAGGCCUUGGGUUCUUCUCCACCAGGACUCUGGGCUUUGCAGAAACAAGACUUCCCCAUACCAUUCUCUAAAGGCUCUGGAGUGCCUACGGUAAGACCCUGGCAGGCAGAUUAAACCAGAGACUUGGGAAGACUUGAGGGGCCUUUGCCCAUACUGGGGGUCUUUGCUGGACCAGCAGCUGUAUCUUCACUGCCUGGUGACUCAGCUGGGAGGGAAAGACUGGCUCCAGGGUACCUUUCUUUGUCCCAAAGUGGUGCCUGUGAUGGUUCAGUGGGCUUGGGCUCAGGGGUGGCAGACCAGGCCUGGAACCUGACUCUGCCCUAUACUGGUUGAAUGAUCUCAGGCACUGCUGGACUUCCUUGGUCCCCAGUCACAUUCUCCAUGAAGUAGGAAUAAGCAUGGUGUGUAUGUCAUAGGACUGUGGUGGAAAUCAACAUGGACAGUGCAUACGAAGCCCUUUGCCUAUUGCAUGGUAUAGGGUCAGACUCAGUCAGGGCCUCUGUGAUGCUGUGAUAGUGGUGGUGAUGGUGAUGGUGGUGAUGAUGGUGGUGGUGAUGAUGAUGAUGGUGAUGGUAGUGAUGGUGAUGGUGAUGAUGGUGGAGGUGGUGAUGAUGAUGGUGGUGAUGGUGGAGACAGUGAUGAUGGUGGAGAUGAUGAUGGUGG